rnacentral:rRNA from 1 species
UUAUGACUUGGGUUACACACGUGUACAAUGGACAGAACAAAGGGUGCAAGACCGCAAGGUUUAGCCAAUCCCAUAAAUCUGUUCUCAGUUCGGAUCGCAGUCUGCAACUCGACUGCGUGAAGCUGGAAUCGCUAGUAAUCGCGGAUCAGCAUGCCGCGGUGAAUACGUUCCCGGGCCUUGUACACACCGCCCGUCACACCACGAGAGUUUGCAACACCCGAAGUCGGUGAGGUAACCUUUAUGGAGCCAGCCGCCGAAGGUGGGGCAGAUGAUGGGGG